UGUAGACCCUCAAUUUUGUUCCUUUAGCACAUGUCUUUAAAUUCAUUUUUAAUGCUCCAUAGUAACUCCUUGGUGGCCCAUUACUACUCGUACAACUUACCUUUUUCUGAGUCACCUCGGAGACUUCGGUCGAGGGAUUAUCUGACCCUUUAUUGUGACCCUUGGCAACCCUAAUUUAGACUUAGGCUUUUGUUAUUCUUUUUAGGAUAACUUUUAGAUACACCUGACCCAUUAGACACCACCCUAGGCCCACCUAGAUUCACCUUGACUCGCACCGAGACACCUCCUCAUUUACACACAUGUCACUUAGGUCACUUAGACACUUUUUUCAGAACAGGUCCAUUUAGACAUUUCAUUGAGGCUCAACAUUUCUUUUUUAUUUAUUUAUUUAUUUAUUUAUUUUAUUUAUUUAUUUUUUAAUAUUAUUAUUAUUAUGGCAUGCAUUUGGUAAUUACAUUCAUUUUGUCUAUUCAUUUUUACUUUUACUUUUUAUUAUUUACUUAUUCAUGUAUUUAAUUGUCUUUAUAUAUUUCAUUUUAUUUAUUUUUAUUUACUUAUUUACUUACUUAAUGAAAAAUUGUUUGAAUUGUUAGAUUUAAAAUACGCAUAUAGCCCCUUUAUCAAAUGACAGAAUUGUACAAUCUAAUAUUUGAUUUUCUCUUUCAUUAUCUUUUAAUCAUAUUUCAUUUUAUUACCAAUUUCAUGACUUUCAUUAAUUUCUCGUCUUUUCCUUUAAUUUUAAUUUUAUCUUAUUUUGUUUUGCAUGAGGAGCACCAUUUUGGGCAGGAACAAAAGGAUCGUGGGACGAAUUAUCCACAUACAUUAGACCCUAUUCCUUGGAAGCUUCAAGAUCUUCAUACCCAGGGAUAGGAUCACCACGGAUUCUCCACGAAAAAGCAAGGGAAUUAACCGCCAUCUCGACAGGAAGAACCAGUACGCAUGUGUGGGCAUUUUUUUGGUCGUUUGGGAACACAUCAUGAGUUGAAGACAACCAGUCCACGCGCAAGCAUCCCCCACGCCUGUAACUUUUGAGGGGUCCACAUCCCAAUUUCCAUAAGAUCUCCACGGUAUCUUGAAGAGAACCAUGCAUGCCACUCAUUCAAAGUGGGUGGGCUGCAUCUUCCAAAUGUAAGGAGAGACAAGACAAUACGCAUGGAUGAAGGCUUCAUUCUGCUGCCAAUCCAUAACCUGCACGGGCUGCAAUUCAAUGGAUGUACAGUCCACUUUGGGAUUGAUCACCCACCAUGGAGAGUGACCACGGAAUUCUCCAACACUUUGCCCGCAUAUGGAGAAUACCAUGCAUGGACCUUAGGUUGAAACAUCAACGCACACCAGAUUGAUGAGGACGCGGUUCGGGAACUGAGUGGUGAACAUCAGAUUUUUUUAUGGAGCAUGGUAUGGACAAUUGGAUAAAAAGAAACAAAAAUCUGAACCCACUUUAAGAGAAACACAUAGGCCGCACCAUUCUCCAACAAGACAUGGGCUGCAUCCUUGAAGAAAUUGCUAGGUAAGUCACGCAUACAUCACUUCCCAUAUCCACAUGCAUUCAAAAAAGGAAAUAGAAUAUUCAAUGAUGGAGAGGCUGCCAUAAAAAAAUCCCCACUUCCCAUAAGAAGAGGAUCGCUACAUGCUGGUUAUACGAAGGGGAAUUUUGGAGAUCCUCACGCAGCCAUAUAAAGAGGGGCUGCCAUAUAAAUAGGAGGGGGGUUUUUUUUAGCAGAGAUCGACACGAGAGGAGAUUAUUUUUCUGGAGCAAAAGGAGGAUUUUUGGCUUGAGAAGGAGAAAGGCGAGAGGAUUUUUUUUUGAGGAGUAGAGAGAUCCACACGAAGAGGGGAGCCACCUUAACGCAUCAAAGGCAAAUUUUUUUGUUAAUACAGGUGAGUUUUUGAAAUAGUUUUGAUUAUUUUUGUUCGUAAUUCAUAAGUCCAUGCUAAUUUUUGUUUUAAUCCAUGUGAUAGUUAAAAUGUGUUUGUGAGUUUAAUUUAAUUAGUUUUGUCUUAAUUCACUCCUUAGUUUAGUUUUGUUAUUGAUUCUGAUUUCUUAGUUUAAUUAAUUAAUCUUCUUUUAGGUACAAUUUAGGUUUCGAUUUGGUUUAUUAAUUUAUUUUAUUCAUAAUUCUAAUUCAUUGAUAAAAUUGAUUCUUUAUUUGAAAGUUUGCGUUUUUAGGAUGUUUUAAUUUAAUUUGAUUCAUUAUAUUUAGUUUAGAUAUUUGUUAUAGUUUAGUUCAUUAAUGAAAUUGAUCCCAUGUUUAAAAGUUUGCGUUUUUAGGAUGUUUUAAUUUAAUUUGAUUCAUUAUUUUUAGGUGUUUUUUUAUAGUUUUAAUUUAUUAGUAAAAUUGACCCCAUGUUUGAAAGUUCAUAUUUUUAGUAUUCUUUGAUUCAUUUUCGUUCAUUUUAAUUAGUUUAUGUGUUUUUAUAGUUUUACUAGCUUAUUGAUAAAAUUGAUCCUUUAUUUGAAAGUUUGCGUUUUUAGGAUGUUUUAAUUUAAUUUGAUUCAUUAUAUUUAGUUUAGAUAUUUGUUAUAGUUUAGUUCAUUAAUGAAAUUGAUCCCAUAUUUGAAAGUUUCAGUUUUUAGUUCGCUUUGAUUUAAUAAUUUAUAUUCAUUAUUUUUAGGUGUUUUUUUUAUAUAGUUUUAAUUCAUUAGUAAAAUUGAUCCCAUGUUUGAAAGUUCAUAUUUUUAGUAUUCUUUGAUUUAAUUUCGUUCAUUUUAAUUAGUUUAUGUGUUUUUAUAGUUUUAUUAGCUUAUUGAUAAAAUUGAUUCUUUAUUUAAAAGUUCAUGUUUUUAGUGUACUUUGAUUUAAUUUAAUUCAUCUAUUUAGUUUAGACACUCUCACAAUUUUUGGUCCAUCAAUAAAAUUAAUUCCAUGCUUGAAAGUAUAUAUUUUUGGUUUGCCUUGGUUCAUUAGUAGAAUUAAUUCUAUGUUUGAAAGUUCAUGUUUUUAGUUUAAUUUAGUCAAACUCGUUAUAAUUAGUUUAGGUACUUCUAUAAUUUUAGUUCCUUACCCGAAUUGACCCCUUUUUAGUUUUUAUUUCAAAAUCAUUAACGUUAGUUCCUGAUCACCCUUAUCCUAGCUUAUAUGCUUUUAAAAUCCUAGCGGUUAGUUCAUGAAUUGAUACUUUGUUAGUUUGUCUAAUUUAGAAUGUCUUGUCUGUUAGUGAUCCUUCAUUUAAUCUGAUUUUCUUUCUGAGGCCAUUAAAAAUCAUGAAGAUUGGCCUCUACCAUCACCAUUAUCAUUUUUGUUAAUUACUAAAAAAAUUUUACUUUGAGGUUUCAUUUUUGUUUUGUUUGGUAUUUUAUCUCUUAUAUUUUAUUUUUUCCCAAUUUAAUCCCUUUUAUUUUAAAAUAAAAUACUUUUCUCAAAAAAUCAUUUUAAAAAUCUAUUUCAAAAACUCAUUAGAGUCCUCAGGAUCAAAAUUUCCUUUUUUUUAUUAUUUAAAAAUAAUAUGCAACCAUAUCUUGUUCGGUUUGCAUCCUUCUCGGUUUUCAACAAAAAUUUUGGUUUUGAACACUAGUUAAGGAAAAUGUGGCGUCUAAUUGAUCGAUUAGAGGGUACCCCCUUUUCCUAGGCAAGGUGAUUCGAUUUGCUUGUUUGGUUUGCUAUCUUACCAUGUUUGAUUGCCUUGGAUGAUCACUUGAUUGUUUUGCUCACUUUAGCAUGAUUCACUAUCACAUAUAUUAGAUAGGACUUUGUUUGUUUGAUAUUUAUUUGCUUUGCAUGACUGUUUGAAUGAUCACUUGAUUGUUUUGCUCACUUUAGCAUGAUUCACUCUCAUAUAUGCUAGAUAGGACUUUGAUUGUAUGAUACUUAUCUGCUUGGUAUGAUUGCUUGUUGCAUGACAACCCUUUCUCUUGCAUGAUUGUAUGAUUGCUUGUCUUUGUUCACUAUCUCACUUUAGAUCUUAGGUUUUUCGGAUGCACCCACAUCCUUCAUUGUGCACUUUAGAUUAUCCCUGAGUGUUGAGAGAUGGGAGAGCCUUCACCCUUAAGAAACCCCCUGGGAACGCGAGGAAGUGCAUGUGUGGAGGUGAUGACCACCUUGCAUGGAAGCACCCCGUCUCCUUGGAGGCGUGCAGAGGGUUGCGUACCAUCGGAGGGUACGAUCGCUUCUGCUAAGGAUCCUUUGACCCACCCAUUUUAUCCUAUAGAGCCGCCUUAACCUUGUAGGUUAGCCUAGAUCCAAUUAAGAUUUCACUCCUACACGUGGGUGCAUCUAUGGACCUUCAGAGCUACCUUGGUCACAAUUGGAUUCGGUUAUCCCUUCCUUAGUCUCCUUUUGGUGUAAUCAGAGAAGGGUAUCAGAUUGAGUACAUUUGGGCUAUUUUCUUGCACACUUAUCAGCUGAUUCAUACAGAGUCGCUUUCAUACCGCACCUUAUCCAGUGUUUCCAUAUUUGUAGGAGGGUUUACCUUGACCGAUCUGGAUUCACCUUUGUUAGAGUUGGAGGCAGAUUGACCAGAGUAUCAGACCAGUUAGACCAGAGAUCAGAUCAGGGGGAUAUGGAUUCUCAGAUAGUUACCGUUGACCAGUUUGCUGCAGCCAUGGCUUCGAUCCAGGAGGCUAUAGCUAGCCUUGGCCAGAGGAUAGAUGGGCAGCAGGCCCGACAGGUCCCAGUUCAGGAGGAUAUCCAGUUUGAUACCACAGUACCACCACCACCUCCGCACAGUCAGCCAGCACCACAGACUAUACCUUUUACUCUACAUAGUCAGACUGAGGUUGCACCACCUCCUGCCAUAGUGCCUACUUCGAUCUCAGAGGACCCACAUGCUCGUAUGGAUAAACUUGAGCAGAAGUUGAGACAGAUGAGGACUUCAGAGGGAGCUAUUACUUGGGAGGAUUUUGAUGGAGCACCAGUGGCCAGUCUACCGGCCAAGUUCAAGAUGCCUGAGAUUGAGAGAUACACAGGCAUAGGAUGCCCUCACAUCCAUUUGAGACUCUAUAGUACUGUUAUGAAGGCCCAUGGACUGGAUGAUGCCCAGAUGGUUAUGCUCUUCCCUAUGUCAUUGAGUGGUGCUGCAUAGCGUUGGUUCGCUUCAUUGGAGGUAUCACGCCGUAAGACUUGGGAUGACUUAGCCCAGGAGUUUUUGAGACAGUUUGCAUUUAACACUGUCAUUGAUGUUUCGAGGAGAGAGUUGGAGGCUUUGAGACAGAGGCCGGAGGAGUCAAUCACUUCAUUUAUCUCCUGCUGGAGGGAGAAGAUUUCACAGAUUAUAGACCGUCCUUCAGAGAGAGAUCAGAUUGGCAUGAUCAUGAGGAGCUUGCAGCCUAGAUUUGCUAGACACUUGAUGGGAUUUCCCCAUACGGAUUUUGGAUCUUUAGUACAGGCUUUGUAUGGUAUAGAGGAGGGCAUUGCUAGAGGAUUAUGGUCUGAGUCUUCCCCUACUGAUUCUAAGGGGAAGAGGCCUUCAAGAGGACAGAGAUCAGGAGAUGUUGGUGCUAUCAGUUCAGCAGGGAUGAGACCUUCUAGACGCUAUCAGACAGUUGGGCAGACUCCUGGGUACUACUAUCCACCUUCACCUCAUGCGCAUUACAGACCACCUACCCCUUCCAGACCUAUGACUCCUACUUAUCUGCAUCUGGACUCACAGCCCGUUUUUGCUGCACACGUCGCAGAGAGACCUCCUGCCCCAUAUAUUUGACCCCGAGCUCCGCAGACCACUACUUAUGUGCAGAGACCACCACGUCAGUUUGCUCAGUUGGGUAUGCCUUUGAGUCGAGCUUUUCAGAAGCUCGCAGAAGGUGGAUUAUUGACUCCAUUAGCAUCCAGGCCUUUACCCCAGCCCAUACCACCUCGCUUUAGGAUGGACUUACAUUGUUCCUACCAUCAGGGACCAAGGCAUGACACGGACCAUUGCACUGCUUUGAGACAUGCUAUUCAGGAUUUGAUAGAUCAGGGUUUGGUCAACUUGGGGCAGCCAAGUGUGACCACUAACCCUCUUCCUGCUCAUUCUACACACGCAGUGCAUCCAUCUUUAGGAGAUAUUAAUCACAUGGACCUUAUAGAGGAUGACAGUAUACACAUGUUGAGUUGGGAUGAUGGAUUACCUGAGCCGAUUGUUCUGCAUGACAGCUAUGAGAUUGAUGGGGUUUCAUUGGUCCCUCAGACUCCUGCACCAUUCAGUUUGAUCCCGGACGAGGCACCAUUCCAGUUGACUCAUCCUACACCCUUAGUUAUCGGAUGUUAGGAUACUUUUGUCCCUUUCACCUUAUGGCCAGAGGAUGAUGAUUCAGAGGGGAGAGAGAUACAGAUUGUGACUCGUAGUGGGAGGAUAGCUCAGCCACCACCACCAGCAGUCAGACUAUUUGAGGGUACAACCUCUCAUGAGUAGGUUAGGAGAGAGGAUGAUGAGGUUUUGAGACAGAUACAGAGCACUCAGGCUCGCAUUUCCAUCUGGAGUUUAUUAGCAUCGUCCAGUACUCAUAGAGAUGCUUUGAUUCGAGCCUUGAGUCAGAUCAGAGUAGAGACUACCACCACUCCGGAGAGAUUGAUUCAUAUGAUGACGGCUGGCAGGGCCACUUGCAUUGUAUUUUCAGAUGAUGACUUGCCACCUGAUGGUUUAGACCACGUGCGCCCUCUAUACAUCACAGUUGGAUGUUCAGGCCGUAGAGUCCCGUCUGUCCUACUGGACAACGGCUCAGCCUUGAAUGUUUGCCCUUUAGCCACUGCUAUAGCUCUUGGUUUCGCGCCUUCAGAUUUUGGUCCUUCUACUCAGACAGUCAGGGCGUAUGAUAGCACCAAGAGGGAGGUUAUGGGUACCUUGAUGAUUGAUUUACAGAUUGGUCCAGCCACAUUUUCCACUUUGUUCCAGGUUUUGAGGAUUCCUACAUCCUUUAACCUACUACUAGGCCGGCCAUGGAUUCAUGUAGCUGGAGCUAUUCCUUCUUCCCUUCAUCAGAAGGUGAAGUUUAUUCAUGAUAGGUAGGUCAUCACAAUGCGCUCUACUAGGGAUAUAUUUGCCGCUUCUGAGCCAGUACUUCAGAUUAGUCAUAGUGAGGAUGACCUAUUUUUGACUGGAUUUACUUUUAAUGAGAUACAGACUCUCGAGAUUGAGGAUUUUCAUAGAGACUUUGUGGCUAUGUCGUUUGAUCAGCACAGUAGCACAGUGGUCCUUGAUAUGAUGAGGGGUAUGACCUUUCUACCUGGCAUGGGGUUAGGACGACGUCAGCAGGGACCGAGCGAGUUCAUAGCUGCCAUUGACCAUGAUACGACAUUUGGACUUGGAUUCAUCCCUACUGAGGCCAAUUACCGUCACAUGGUGCGGCUGCGCAAGGAGAGGGUGAGAGCCCGUUUAUCCCACACACCAUUUGAUUAUCCUAUUCGACCCUAUAGGAUGAGUUUGGCUGACUACUUUGUCAGAGGAUCAGAGACUCGACCUCGUCUAGAGGAGAUUGAUAGUGCGGUUCAUACAGAUAGAGAGACCGAGCUUCAACAUCUAUUUCACCAGCUACAGUUGAGUGAUGGGGCUCCCGACACUUCUUUCCCUGUGGCGAUUACUCCCACGUCUCCAGAUCGAGCUAGCAUGUUGUCUCUAUGCUUUCCAGAGGAGAUCACGAGUGAUGGGGUAAUUGUUGAUCCUACUGAGGUGAUUGAUGGAGUUGUUCCCCAUGAUGAGUACCGUGAUGAGAUGGACAUGAUGACCGUGAGCCAGAUUGCCGGCAUUGUUCAGCUUCAGCCUGUUUCAGCAUUUGAUAUGUUUGGGGUAUCUACCAUUGAGGUUUUUGAGGGGACUCAGACUCUUCCUGUUCCAGAGCUUCCAGAGGAUGAUAGUAGUUUGUUUAAGGGCAUUGUUAGCCCAGUUGGGGGAGCAUCCGACCUUGUGGACCCACCUCUUUCUUUUGAUGUUUUAUCGGGAUUUAUCUCCUGCUCUGACGAUGUUUCUGUUGCUUCAUUUAUGGAUUUGAGCAUUUUUGAGUAUUCGCCUGUCUCUUGUGAUAGUAUCUCUACAUCUGCACCUCACUCACCCAUUACACAGAUAUUUGAUAUAGAUGAUGAGAUUGCACAGCCCAGUUCGGAUAGGGACUCUUUUGAUCAUGACUCUGGUCCCAUAGAUGAGAGAGUUUCACCUGCUGUAGGGGACAUUGAGACUGUUGAUUUUGGCACAGAGGAUCAGCCUAGAGAGUUGAAGAUUGGUUCACCCCUAUCUACAGAUGAGAGAUAUAGACUCAUCCAUUUACUCAGGUCAUACUUGGAUGUCUUUGCAUGGUCUUAUGAGGACAUGCCAGGUCUUGAUCCCUCUAUAGUCCAGCACCAUUUACCUACCCUACCACAUGGUAGACCGGUUAAGCAGAAAUUGAGACGGUUACAUCCACGUUGGAGUCUACAGGUAAAAGAGGAGAUUCAGAAACAACUCAGUGUUGGGUUCAUAUCAGUAGUUGAGUAUCCAGAGUGGUUGGCUAAUGUCGUCCCUGUUCCUAAAAAGGAUGACAAAGUUAGGGUUUGUGUUGACUUCAGGGAUCUCAAUAAAGCCAGCCCUAAAGAUGACUUUCCCCUUCCACACAUUGAUUUGUUGGUUGAUGGCACUACAGGUCAUUCGAUGUUGUCUUUCAUGGAUGGGUUUUCAGGAUAUAAUCAGAUUUUGAUGGCUCCAGAGGAUAUGGAGAAGACAGCCUUUAUUACUGAGUGGGGUACCUACUGUUACAGAGUUAUGCCAUUUGGGUUGAAGAACGCAGGAGCCACUUAUCAGAGAGCCGCUACCACUUUGUUUCAUGACAUGAUGCAUACGGAUGUCGAGGUUUACGUGGAUGAUAUGAUUGUGAAAUCCUGAGGUAGAGCAGAUCACUUAGAUGCUUUAGAGAGAUUCUUUGAGAGGAUCCAGAAGUUUAGAUUGAGGUUGAAUCCCAAGAAGUGCACCUUUGGAGUGACUUCUGGGAAAUUAUUGGGACAUAUGGUCAGUGAGAGAGGCAUAUAGGUCGACCCAAAUAAAAUCAAAGCCAUACUUGACAUGCCUGCACCGAAGACUGAGAAAGAGAUCAGGAGUUUUCUAGGCAGAUUACAGUACAUCAAUCGAUUCAUAGCUAGAUUGACAGACAUAUGUGAGCCUAUCUUUCGUCUUUUGAGGAAGAACCAGCCAACAGUUUGGAAUGAUGACUGUCAGUUUGCAUUCGAGAAGAUUAAGGAGUAUUUGCUUUCUCCUCCUGUUUUAGUGCCUCCUACGCCAGGACGUCCACUUCUUUUAUAUUUGUCAGUUUCAGACAUGGCCUUGGGAUGUAUGUUAGCUCAGAUUGAUGACUUAGGAAAGGAACGAGAUAUUUACUACCUAAGUAAGAGGAUGUUGGAGUAUGAGAUGAGAUAUGUCAUGAUUGAGCGCCUUUUCUUAGCACUAGUUUGGGCUACCAGGAGAUUGAGGCAUUACAUGACAAAGUAUUCAGUGCAUUUGAUAUCCCGCCUGGACCCGUUGAGAUACUUGUUUGAUAGACCUGCAUUGACUGGUAGAUUGAUGAGAUGGCUCGUACUCCUGACAGAGUUUGAUAUUCAGUAUGUUUCUCAGAAGUCUAUUAAGGGAAGUAUUGUCGCCGAUCAUUUGGCUUCAUUACCGACAUCUGAGGAUAGACCAGUUGAUGAUGAUUUUCCAGAUGAGGAGUUUGUUGCUAUGACCAGCUUAUCAGGAUGGUGCAUGUACUUCGAUGGUGCAGCCAAUCAGUCAGGGUAUGGGAUAGGUGUUCUAUUGGUAUCCCCUCAGGGUGAUCAUAUUCCGAGGUCCGUUCAUUUGGCAUUCUCUGAUCGACAUCCUGCCACGAAUAACAUAGUUGAGUAUGAGGCUUGUAUCCUUGGUUUAGAGACUGCACUGGAGCUUGACAUUAGACAGAUGGAGGUAUUUGGUGACUCCAAUUUGGUACUCAGACAGAUUCAGGGAGACUGGAAGACUAGGGACGUGAAGCUUAGACCAUAUCAUGCAUAUUUAGAGUUGUUGGUUGCGAGAUUUGACGACUUGAGAUAUGUUCAUCUGCCUAGAGCGCAGAACCGAUUUGCUGACGCCUUAGCUACUUCAGCUUCCUCCGUAGACAUUCCGAUUGAUGUAGUCAUACGUCCAUUACUGAUUGAGUCGAGGUCUGCACCCGCCUAUUGUUGUUUGAUUGGAGAGACAGAGGUCCAGGAUGACCUACCUUGGUAUCAUGACAUUUAUCAGUUUCUCAGAUCUGGCACAUACCCUGAGGUAGCCACUACCAAGGAUCGGAGAGCACUGAGGAAUUUGGCCACUAGAUUUGUGAUUUGUGGAGAUACCUUAUACAGGCGAUCAGCUGAUGGUAUGCUCCUAUUAUGUUUAGAUCGAGCCUCUAUGGAUCGAGUGAUGAGAGAGGUUCAUGUAGGAGUUUGUGGUCCGCAUAUGGGAGGACACAUGCUAGCUCGUAAGAUUAUGAGGACGGGCUAUUUCUGGUUGACUAUGGAGACAGAUUGUUGUCAGUUUGUCCAGAAAUGCCCAGAGUGCCAGAUUCAUGGUGAUCUCAUACAUGCACCACCAUCAGAGUUACACGCCUUGACCUCGCCAUGGCCAUUCUCAGUAUGGGGUAUUGAUAUUAUUGGGAAGGUUUCACCAAAAUCUUCCAGUGGUCAUGAGUUCAUCCUGGUUGCCAUAGAUUAUUUCACCAAGUGGGUGGAAGCCGCAUCAUAUGCGAGGUUGACAUCUGUUAGGGUUGCCAGUUUCAUCAGAUCACACAUCAUUUGUCGCUAUGGGGUUCCUCAUGAGUUGAUUUCCGACAGAGGGGCGCACUUCCGAGCUGAGGUAGACACUUUGUUGCAGGAGUAUGGCAUCCGACAUCAUAGAUCUUCUGCAUAUAGGUCACAGACCAAUGGGGCAGUAGAGGCUGCAAACAAGAAUAUUAAGAGGAUUUUGAGGAAAAUGGUUGAGACUUCUCGAGAUUGGUCAGAGAAGCUUCCUUUUGCAUUGUGGGCAUACCGUACCUCUUUUCGUACCUCUACAGGAGCUACGCCUUACUCUCUAGUGUAUGGUAUGGAGGUUGUUUUGCCAGUCGAGACAGAGAUGGGCUCAUUGAGAGUAGCCCUUGAGCAGCAGAUUUCUGAGACAGAGUGGGCUCAGGCUCGAUUUGAUCAGCUUAACCUUUUAGAUGAGAGGAGAUUGAGAGCAGCAGAUCAUGUUCAGGCCUAUCAGAGAAAGAUGGCUCGUGCCUUCAAGAAACGGGUUAAGCCUAGACCAUUGCAAAAAGGGGACUUAGUUUUGAGGAUUCUCAGGGGUUUGAUUGGAGACCCUAGAGGAAAGUUUAGACCUAGUUGGAGUGGGCCUUAUGUUAUCCGAGAGUUGACUCCAGAAGGGGCUGCAUGGUUGACAGACUUAGAUGGAAACCAAUUUUCAGAGCCUACCAAUGUGGAUCAACUGAAGAAGUAUUAUGUUUGAGACCGUGGUCGUAGGAUGGGUGGCCAUCAUUUCGGUUAGCCUCAUACUUUAUCACCUCUAUAUAUUAGACCGUUGCUAGCCCAUUGAGCUUCGCGUGGUAUGUUAUAGCCUUAUUUCUUUCUUAUAGCUUCGAUUACCAUUUCUAUACCCGGGUUGGGACCCUUUGAUGUAUAUGCAUGCUUUGCUAGGAAAGUCUCAUGAGCUUUAGACUUAUAGGUCUAUCUCCUCAUUUUGUUACCAUCCUCUUAUCACCCUAUUUGUUCUAUUUUAUUAUCAUCAUAUAUUCAUUCUCUUUCUUGUCUCUAUCAUUAUUUGCUUCAUCUUAUCUAUUCUCUUCCUUGGGUUGAUGAUUCUUCACGUCUUAGUGCAAAGAGGGCAGUCAUAUCACUCUAUUCAUUCCAUCAUUUGACAUUGAUUCGGAGAUCUUAGUUUGAGAGGUUGUCUCAUGGGUUGGGGUUCAUGUAUUCAUCAGUGAUUUGAGAGAGUUUAUUCACUCCUUGUAUCUUUUCCAUUGGAGUUUGACUUAUUGAUGAUCAGAGCAUGCGCUAAAAAAAAAAAAAAAAAAAAAAAAAAGCGCAAUGACAUGUUUGUGUAUGGUAUCUUGCUUCAUUGGGCACUUAUAUCAUCUUUUGAGGUCUGUUUACUGGGUAUAUUUGACAUUGUGGGUUCUUGUGAGAUGUUUAUAUGAGUUUUCACUCCUUGAGCCACUCUUGUUAUGCAUUUGGAGUGUUGGGGGUUCAUGUGAGAGUUCUAUGGUAUCCUAUGCUUCUCGGUCAUGGUUGAUACGUAUUAGGUAUGAGAGAUGAGUUUGAGAUUCAUCAACAAAGCAGCUUUUUAGACAUAGAGGGUUCCUUCAGUUUAGACUUUUCAGAGGUUUGUCACGAUGCAUCAGUUUCUUACCUAUUGAUUUCAGCGGAUGAUUGAUUUACUGGUUGUUUCAGCAGUGUGAGCACCCUGGAUACUGGGGCAUAUUUCCCUUCUUGGUUUCAGUAGUCCAACCCUUGACAUUUUGAGUAUGUGGCUUUGAGCCAAUUUAUUUCAUGUCCACUUUCGAGUUGGUCUUCUCUAUUAUUCCCUUCUAGGCCCUAAGCCUCAUAGCCCUGAGUUAUUCAUUUCUUCUAAGACCCCGAGUCUUAUAGCCCUAAGCUAUCCUUUUUCCCUUAGGCCCUGAGCCCGCUAGCCCUGAGCUAUCAUUUCCUAUAGACCCCGAGUCUUAUAACCCUGAGCUAUCCUUUUUCCCUUAGGCCCUGAGCUCGCUAGCCCUGAGCUAUCCUUUUUUUAGGCCCUGAGCCUCGUAGCCAUGAGUUAUCCAUUCCUUCUAGACCCUGAGUCUUAUAGCCCUGAGCUAUCUUUUUUCCCUUAGGCCCUGAGCCCGCUAGCCCUGAGCUAUCAUUUCCUACAGACCCAGAGUCUUUCCAGCUCUUAGCUGAGCUUUCAUCACUUGGUCGCCCAUGAGUGGUUUGACCUGGAGUUUGCGUAUCGCAUUCUCCUUCUAGCCGAUCAGUCAUAGAGCCCGGAGCUCAUAGCCCUGAGCUAUUCAUCGACCCAGAGUCAUUUUCCAUCUUGACCUAGAGUCAUUCAUAGCACCCCGAGCCCUGAGCUCACGACCCGGAGUCAUUUGCAUCAUUCACAUCCCUGAGAUGUUUCGUUUUCAUCAUUCUAGCCACUUGUGAGUGGCCUCGACCCGACACCUUGAGUCGGAAANNNNNNNNNNNNNNNNNNNNNNNNNNNNNNNNNNNNNNNNNNNNNNNNNNNNNNNNNNNNNNNNNNNNNNNNNNNNNNNNNNNNNNNNNNNNNNNNNNNNGCUCGCUAGCCUUGAGCUAUCUUUUUUUUGGGCCCUGAGCCUCGUAGCCAUGAGUUAUCCAUUCCUUCUAGACCCUGAGUCUUAUAGCCCUGAGCUAUCUUUUUUCCCUUAGGCCCUGAGCCCGCUAGCCCUGAGCUAUCAUUUCCUACAGACCCAGAGUCUUUCCAGCUCUUAGCUGAGCUUUCAUCACUUGGUCGCCCAUGAGUGGUUUGACCUGGAGUUUGCGUAUCGCAUUCUCCUUCUAGCCGAUCAGUCAUAGAGCCCGGAGCUCAUAGCCCUGAGCUAUUCAUCGACCCAGAGUCAUUUUCCAUCUUGACCUAGAGUCAUUCAUAGCACCCCGAGCCCUGAGCUCACGACCCGGAGUCAUUUGCAUCAUUCACAUCCCUGAGAUGUUUCGUUUUCAUCAUUCUAGCCACUUGUGAGUGGCCUCGACCCGACACCUUGAGUCGGAAAGUAUCCUGAUCGGCUAUCUAUUUAGAGCCCGGAGCUCUCGACCUAGAGUCAUUUUCCAUGUCGACACAGAGUCAUUUUCCAUUUUGACCCAGAGUCAUUCCUUUUUAUUUAGAGCCCGGAGCUCUCAACCCAGAGCCAUUUUCCAUUUUGAUCCAGAGUCAUUCCUUUCCAUUUAGAGCCCGGAGCUCUCGACCCAGAGUCACUUUCCAUUUCGACCCAGAGUCAUUAUUUCCUAUUUUAGAGCCCGGAGCUCUCGACCCAGAGUCACUUUCAUUCUUUCCUAUUUUAGAGCUUGGAGCUCUCGACCCAGAGUCACUUUCCAUUUUGACCCAGAGUCAUUCUUUCCUAUUUUAGAACUUGGAGCUCUCGACCCAGAGUCACUCUCCAUUUUAACCCAGAUUCAUUCUUUCCUAUUUAGAGCCUGGAGCCCUCGACCCAGAGUUGUUUUCCAUUUACGACCCAGAGUCAUUUCUUUUCCAUUUAGAGCCUAGGGCUCUCGACCUAGAGUCGUUCAUCCUAUUUUAGACCCAGAGUCGUUCAUCUUGUCCAUGACCUAUAUUCACUCAUCUCAUUCAUGACUUUGAGUCACCCUUUUCACCUCUUUCCAUCUCAUUGCGACCCCACCUUUUGACCUUACCUUUUCAUGUGCUAGGACAAAAUCUCUGGUCUUUCUUUAAUUCUUCGAUAUAGUUCACUUCAUUUCGCUCAUUACUCGUGUUUCUACUCACACUCUCUACACUCGUGAUCUAUACCGAAGAGGGGCAUAUUUGUAGACCCUCAAUUUUGUUCCUUUAGAACAUGUCUUUAAAUUCAUUUUUAAUGCUCCAUAGUAACUCAUUGGUGGCCCAUUACUACUCGUACAACUUACCUUUUUCUGAGUCACCUCGGAGACUUCGGUCGAGGGAUUAUCUGACCCUUUAUUGUGACCCUUGGCAACCCUAAUUUAGACUUAGCCUUUUGUUAUUCUUUUUAGGAUAACUUUUUAGAUACACCUGACCCAUUAGACACCACCCUAGGCCCACCUAGAUUCACCUUGACUCGCACCGAGACACCUCCUCAUUUACACACAUGUCACUUAGGUCACUUAGACACUUUUUUCAGAACAGGUCCAUUUAGACAUUUCAUUGAGGC
rnacentral:lncRNA from 1 species